UACGAAGGGGGCUAGCGUUGCUCGGAAUGACUGGGCGUAAAGGGCGCGUAGGCGGUUUGUACAGUCAGGUGUGAAAUUCCCGGGCUCAACCUGGGGGCUGCACUUGAUACGUAUGGACUGGAGUGGGGAAGAGGGUCGUGGAAUUCCCAGUGUAGAGGUGAAAUUCGUAGAUAUUGGGAGGAACACCAGUGGCGAAGGCGAGUCUCUGGACAUUUCCUGACGCUGAGGCACGAAAGCGUGGGGAGCAAACAGG
rnacentral:rRNA from 1 species